UGCAUUUCAAACUAAAAAGAAACACAGCUUGAGAGGAAACAAUACCAAGCUACUACACUCAAUAGCCCCAUUUGCUUUCCUCAGCCAGUUUUCACAGGUCUUGGACACUCAAACCUGCAAAUACCAAAAAAGAUCAAUUAGCAAACCCAUAUGGAAACCAAUGACAUGCCAUAGUAGUCUGGACCAGGAUUCAUAGGAACUCUCUACAUUUUAUUGAUGAGCUCAUUACAGUUUGCCUAGAUUUUAGAGGUGAAAAUCAGAAAUCCAAAAUGGGAUCAUCAAAGCAAAAAAGGUUUGACAGCAAAGCGGAUGCUAUGGAUUAUUUUCUGGGGUUUUCUUUCUUCCCUUCUUCUUGCUUCCCUUUUAUUUGUUUUCUGAAUAAGCAAAUACAUAGACUGCUAAGCAGGUGGUGAACCCUAGCACUUUGUGGUGCACAAGGAACACCCAAAAUUAAGAUGAUAUAACCAACCUGGAGGAAGAGACUGCUUCAAUUUGUCAGCCUUCUCUGCAUCAAAGACGCAAAGUGUGUAGAGGUACUUGGAGCAACGGACCUUGAACUUAACCACAUCCUUGCUCCUCUUGAUCUUCACGGAGCGUGCA
rnacentral:lncRNA from 1 species